ensembl:ncRNA Y67A10A.343 ncRNA
CGAUUGAUUUGUAUGGAAAACGACAUUGAAAAGCACUGGAUUUGGUGAGAGAGGGAGAGGUGAAAGUCUUCUUCUAUUCUCUCAUUGCAAACUGGUUUCGCCCGCG